GAUUAACGCGAAGAACCUUACCAGCGUUUGACAUGCCAGGACGGUUUCCAGAGAUGGAUUCCUUCCCUUACGGGACCUGGACACAGGUGCUGCAUGGCUGUCGUCAGCUCGUGUCGUGAGAUGUUGGGUUAAGUCCCGCAACGAGCGCAACCCUCGUCUUUAGUUGCUACCAUUUAGUUGGGCACUCUAAAGAAACUGCCGGUGAUAAGCCGGAGGAAGGUGGGGAUGACGUCAAGUCCUCAUGGCCCUUACGCGCUGGGCUACACACGUGCUACAAUGGCGGUGACAGAGGGCUGCAAACCCGCGAGGGUGAGCUAAUCUCCAAAAGCCGUCUCAGUUCGGAUUGUUCUCUGCAACUCGAGAGCAUGAAGGCGGAAUCGCUAGUAAUCGCGGAUCAGCACGCCGCGGUGAAUACGUUCCCGGGCCUUGUACACACCGAAUC
rnacentral:rRNA from 1 species